rnacentral:rRNA from 1 species
GGUUAAGCGACUAAGCGUACACGGUGGAUGCCCUGGCAGUCAGAGGCGAUGAAGGACGUGCUAAUCUGCGAAAAGCGUCGGUAAGGUGAUAUGAACCGUUAUAGCCGGCGAUGUCCGAAUGGGGAAACCCAGUGCAAUUCGUUGCACUAUCGUUAACUGAAUACAUAGGUUAACGAGGCGAACCGGGGGAACUGAAACAUCUAAGUACCCCGAGGAAAAGAAAUCAACCGAGAUUCCCCCAGUAGCGGCGAGCGAACGGGGAGCAGCCCGGAGUCUGAAUCAGCUUGUGUGUUAGUGGAAGCGUCUGGAAAGUCGCAGGGUACAGGGUGAUACUCCCGUACACUAAAAUGCACAGGUUGUGAACUCGAAGAGUAGGGCGGGACACGUGGUAUCCUGUCUGAAUAUGGGGGGACCAUCCUCCAAGGCUAAAUACUCCUGACUGACCGAUAGUGAACCAGUACCGUGAGGGAAAGGCGAAAAGAACCCCGGCGAGGGGAGUGAAAAAGAACCUGAAACCGUGUACGUACAAGCAGUAGGAGCCCACUUGUUGGGUGACUGCGUACCUUUUGUAUAAUGGGUCAGCGACUUAUAUUCUGUAGCAAGGUUAACCGUAUAGGGGAGCCGCAGGGAAACCGAGUCUUAACUGGGCGUUAAGUUGCAGGGUAUAGACCCGAAACCCGGUGAUCUAGCCAUGGGCAGGUUGAAGGUUGGGUAACACUAACUGGAGGACCGAACCGACUAAUGUUGAAAAAUUAGCGGAUGACUUGUGGCUGGGGGUGAAAGGCCAAUCAAACCGGGAGAUAGCUGGUUCUCCCCGAAAGCUAUUUAGGUAGCGCCUCGUGAACUCAUCUUCGGGGGUAGAGCACUGUUUCGGCUAGGGGGUCAUCCCGACUUACCAACCCGAUGCAAACUACGAAUACCGAAGAAUGUUAUCACGGGAGACACACGGCGGGUGCUAACGUCCGUCGUGAAGAGGGAAACAACCCAGACCGCCAGCUAAGGUCCCAAAGUCAUGGUUAAGUGGGAAACGAUGUGGGAAGGCCCAGACAGCCAGGAUGUUGGCUUAGAAGCAGCCAUCAUUUAAAGAAAGCGUAAUAGCUCACUGGUCGAGUCGGCCUGCGCGGAAGAUGUAACGGGGCUAAACCAUGCACCGAAGCUGCGGCAGCGACGCUUAUGCGUUGUUGGGUAGGGGAGCGUUCUGUAAGCCGUUGAAGGUGGCCUGUGAGGGUUGCUGGAGGUAUCAGAAGUGCGAAUGCUGACAUAAGUAACGAUAAUGCGGGUGAAAAACCCGCACGCCGGAAGACCAAGGGUUCCUGUCCAACGUUAAUCGGGGCAGGGUGAGUCGACCCCUAAGGCGAGGCCGAAAGGCGUAGUCGAUGGGAAACAGGUUAAUAUUCCUGUACUCGGUGUUACUGCGAAGGGGGGACGGAGAAGGCUAUGUUGGCCGGGCGACGGUUGUCCCGGUUUAAGCAUGUAGGCGGAUGUUCCAGGUAAAUCCGGAACGUCACUAACGCUGAGGUGUGAUGACGAGGCACUACGGUGCUGAAGUGACAAAUGCCCUGCUUCCAGGAAAAGCCUCUAAGCAUCAGGUAACAUCAAAUCGUACCCCAAACCGACACAGGUGGUCAGGUAGAGAAUACCAAGGCGCUUGAGAGAACUCGGGUGAAGGAACUAGGCAAAAUGGUGCCGUAACUUCGGGAGAAGGCACGCUGAUGGUAAGUGAAGUGACUUGCUCAUGGAGCUGAAAUCAGUCGAAGAUACCAGCUGGCUGCAACUGUUUAUUAAAAACACAGCACUGUGCAAACACGAAAGUGGACGUAUACGGUGUGACGCCUGCCCGGUGCCGGAAGGUUAAUUGAUGGGGUUAUCCGUAAGGAGAAGCUCUUGAUCGAAGCCCCGGUAAACGGCGGCCGUAACUAUAACGGUCCUAAGGUAGCGAAAUUCCUUGUCGGGUAAGUUCCGACCUGCACGAAUGGCGUAAUGAUGGCCAGGCUGUCUCCACCCGAGACUCAGUGAAAUUGAACUCGCUGUGAAGAUGCAGUGUACCCGCGGCAAGACGGAAAGACCCCGUGAACCUUUACUAUAGCUUGACACUGAACACUGGUCCUUGAUGUGUAGGAUAGGUGGGAGGCUUUGAAGUGUGGACGCCAGUCUGCAUGGAGCCAUCCUUGAAAUACCACCCUUUAAUGGCUGGUGUUCUAACGUGGGCCCGUAAUCCGGGUUGCGGACAGUGUCUGGUGGGUAGUUUGACUGGGGCGGUCUCCUCCUAAAGAGUAACGGAGGAGCACGAAGGUCAGCUAAUCCUGGUCGGACAUCAGGAGGUUAGUGCAAUGGCAUAAGCUGGCUUGACUGCGAGCGUGACGGCGCGAGCAGGUGCGAAAGCAGGUCAUAGUGAUCCGGUGGUUCUGAAUGGAAGGGCCAUCGCUCAACGGAUAAAAGGUACUCCGGGGAUAACAGGCUGAUACCGCCCAAGAGUUCAUAUCGACGGCGGUGUUUGGCACCUCGAUGUCGGCUCAUCACAUCCUGGGGCUGAAGUAGGUCCCAAGGGUAUGGCUGUUCGCCAUUUAAAGUGGUACGCGAGCUGGGUUUAGAACGUCGUGAGACAGUUCGGUCCCUAUCUGCCGUGGGCGCUGGAGAAUUGAGGGGGGCUGCUCCUAGUACGAGAGGACCGGAGUGGACGCAUCACUGGUGUUCGGGUUGUCAUGCCAAUGGCAUUGCCCGGUAGCUAAAUGCGGAAGAGAUAAGUGCUGAAAGCAUCUAAGCACGAAACUUGCCCCGAGAUGAGUUCUCCCUGACUCCUUGAGAGUCCUGAAGGAACGUUGAAGACGACGACGUUGAUAGGCCGGGUGUGUAAGCGCAGCGAUGCGUUGAGCUAACCGGUACUAAUGAACCGUGAGGCUUAACCUU